AGUGAACGCUGGCGGUAGGCCUAACACAUGCAAGUCGAACGGCAGCACAGUAAGAGCUUGCUCUUACGGGUGGCGAGUGGCGGACGGGUGAGGAAUACAUCGGAAUCUACUUUUUCGUGGGGGAUAACGUAGGGAAAAUUACGCUAAUACCGCAUACGACAUACGGGUGAAAGCAGGGGAUCUUCGGACCUUGCGCGAUUGAAUGAGCCGAUGUCGGAUUAGCUAGUUGGCGGGGUAAAGGCCCACCAAGGCGACGAUCCGUAGCUGGUCUGAGAGGAUGAUCAGCCACACUGGAACUGAGACACGGUCCAGACUCCUACGGGAGGCAGCAGUGGGGAAUAUUGGACAAUGGGCGCAAGCCUGAUCCAGCCAUACCGCGUGGGUGAAGAAGGCCUUCGGGUUGUAAAGCCCUUUUGUUGGGAAAGAAAAGCAGCAGGUUAAUACCCCGCUGUUCUGACGGUACCCAAAGAAUAAGCACCGGCUAACUUCGUG
rnacentral:rRNA from 1 species